rnacentral:rRNA from 1 species
CACGUAGGGGGCGAGCGUUGUCCGGAAUCAUUGGGCGUAAAGAGCUCGUAGGCGGCUCGGUAAGUCGGGUGUGAAACCCCCAGGCUCAACCUGGGGACGCCACCCGAUACUGCUGCGGCUAGAGUCCAGUAGGGGAGUGUGGAAUUCCCGGUGUAGCGGUGAAAUGCGCAGAUAUCGGGAGGAACACCAGCGGCGAAGGCGGCACUCUGGGCUGGAACUGACGCUGAGGAGCGAAAGCGUGGGUAGCAAACAGG